AGUACAACGGAGGCACCUGGGCUGUCGCUGACCUUAAAGGACGUGCACGCCCGGAGUGCUCUCUCACAUCCAUCUCACCCCUUUGUGCAUCACCGCGNGNGGCCCUCUCCUUUGGCUUGUUCCGGGGAGGGGGGUUUCACGUUUUUACACGAACAACCCAUUAAUGCAUGUGUAGAAUGUCUUACUUAUUUUAAAUACAACUUUCAACAACGGAUCUCUUGGCUCUCGCAUCGAUGANNNAANGCAGCGAAAUGCGAUACGUAAUGUGAAUUGCAGAAUUCAGUGAAUCAUCGAAUCUUUGAAACGCACCUUGCGCCCCUUGGUAUUCCGAGGGGUGCACCCGUUUGAGUGUCGUGAACACCCUCAACCUUCUUGGUUUAUCGACCGGGAAGGAUUGGACUUUGGAGGUUUUUGUUGCUGGCNUCGNUUGAAGCCAGCUCCUCCUAAAUGAAUUAGUGGGGUCCGCCGUGCCGAUCCUCGACGUGAUAAGUACGCUUCUACGUCUUGGGGUUUCGCACCGUUCUCGCUUCCAACUUCGAGNUGUGACUCGACCUUAUAAACCUUGACCUCAAAUCGGGUG
rnacentral:rRNA from 1 species